rnacentral:lncRNA from 1 species
CCAACCAACCAACCAACCAACAAACCAACCAACCAAUCAAUCAAUCAAUCAUGAUCAUGAUCAACCAAUCAUGUUUCCGUCUCAUGUGUUUAAUAUAGGGUCCAAGAUCUUCUUUGUGUCUUUUUCCGUGUUUCAAUUGACCCUAUCCAAUGUGUUUAACCAACCAACCAACCAACCAACCAACUAAUCAAUCAAUCAAUCAAUCAAUCAAUCAAUCAAUCAAUCAUGAUCAUGAUCAAUCAAUCAUGUUUCCGUCUCAUGUGUUUAAUAUAGGGUCCAAGAUCUUCUUUGUUUCUUUUUCCGUGUUUCAAUUUACCCUAUCUAACGUGUUUAACCAACCAACCAACCAACUAAUCAAUUAAUCAAUCAAUCAAUCAAUCAAUCAAUCAAUCAUGAUCAUGAUCAAUCAAUCAUGUUUCCGUCUCAUGUGUUUAAUAUAGGGUCCAAGAUCUUCUUUGUUUCUUUUUCCGUGUUUCAAUUGACCCUAUCCAACGUGUUUAACCAACCAACCAAUCAACCAACCAACCAACCAACUAACCAACUAAUCAAUCAAUCAAUCAAUCAAUCAAUCAAUCAAUCAAUCAAUCAAUCAAUCAAUCAAUCUGUAUGACUGUUUAAUCAUGACAGUUUAUUGAAGGAACAAACUCUCAAUUAUUCAAGAAAAAUUGAAAUUUAAUAUUGUUCUUACGUCACUUCUGAAAAAAAAAAUCCACAUGUUCUCUGAAACUACAAGUACAAUCGACCUCAAAAUUUGCAGUCAGCAGGGCAUACAUGUACUAAACGUUUAUAAAAAAACUUGGUGCAGAUAUCUCUCAAAGCUUUUCCUAGAGAAAAGAAAUGGCAAUGCCGUAAAAAUCGCUUGCUAGGUCCGUAAAUCUCAGUAAAAACCUACAAUAAAAUGUCCGCUCCGAGAUUGAAAUACUAAUCUGUGUUACAAACAGGUGCUGAAAAAUGUACAUUAUCAGAAAAUAAUCAAUAAAUGUGUUUUAAAGUUACACCGGAUCAAUUAAAUCCAAAACAUGCACUACUUGUGAACUGUCAUCAAAAUGUCAAUUUCCUACAAUGACAAAAGAAAUUACAUUGUGUACAUUCCAUCUCUAUAGAUGUUGUCUGUUUAACGUCCCCACCUAAAAAGAAAUAAAAAGACUAUCUUUUCGUUAUUAUAAACCCGUGUCACGUGAUGUGGCGCGCGCGCUGUACCUAAAAUAAAAGAAAAACUUUCCAAACUAAACAUGAAACUUCUCCGGUAACAAUAAUAUAGACCCCAUACAGAAACAAACAAACAAACAAACAAACAAACACCCCCCAAUUCAAUUAAUUUUACAGGGGAAAGACCCCCUACAAUUGCUUUUUUAAAGCAAUUGAUUUAUAUUUAUUAUUUUUUUUCUUUUUUUUUUG